CUCCCUAGAGGACUCUGGGGGGAACAGCUGCCUGGCCAGCAUCAUGUGUUCCAGACCCAACAUCCCAGAUGUGUUGUGGGACCACCGGAGGAAUGUUUGAAACCAGGGUCAUCCUGAAAAACCCAGGCCUGGGGUUUUCCAGGUCUCGGGUCGGGCUGAGCACAGAGGCUGUAAGGAAAGAGAUUCUUUAGAGUCA